rnacentral:rRNA from 1 species
UACGGGGGGAGCAAGCGUUGUUCGGAUUUACUGGGCGUAAAGGGCGCGUAGGCGGCCACUGCAAGUCGGUUGUGAAAUCCCCGGGCUCAACCUGGGAACUGCAUUUGUGACUGCAUCGCUGGAGUGCGGCAGAGGGGGGUGGAAUUCCACGUGUAGCAGUGAAAUGCGUAGAGAUGUGGAGGAACACCGAUGGCGAAGGCAGCCCCCUGGGUCAACACUGACGCUCAUGCACGAAAGCGUGGGGAGCAAACAGG